CCUCUUAAUAUUUUUUCAUUUUCUCUCUCAUAUUUAUCAUGUUUUCUCUCUCUUAUUAAAUAUAAAUAUACAUCCAUUGAAGAUGAAAUAUAUUAUGUUGUGCUUCGAUAGACAUUAUUUGAGAGUAUUUUUUCGUUAAUUAUUUUCAACCACAGGAGACCUGUAACUUUUACUAUCUUUGAUUAUUUUUUCACUUGGAAUAAUAUGAGUGGAUUAACCACCUCUGUUCAUUUACUGUAAUUGACCAAUCCCAGCGGUCCAAAUAUGCUAAGGUAGCGUGUUAAUUUCUACUCCUGCCAAACAAGAAACGAAGAACCAAGCUGAGAAAAAUCAAAAUUCUCUCUAGAAUCCCUCAUCAAGUUUUGUGAAGAUGAUGCACAUGACCCUCUACUGGGGCAAAAAGGUUACGAUCUUGUUUGAUUCAUGGAAAACCGAUUCAUGGACCAGCUAUUUGCUUUCUCUUCUUGCGUGCUUCCUCGUCUCCGUUUUCUACCAGUACAUGGAGN
rnacentral:lncRNA from 1 species